AUACGUAGGUGGCGAGCGUUGUCCGGAAUUACUGGGUGUAAAGGGCGCGUAGGCGGGAUAGUCAGUCUGUUGUAAAAGUUCGGGGCUCAAACCCCGUGAAGCAAUGGAAACUGCUAUUCUUGAGUGCAGGAGAGGAAAGUGGAAUUCCCAGUGUAGCGGUGAAAUGCGUAGAUAUUGGGAGGAACACCAGUGGCGAAGGCGGCUUACUGGUCCAUUACUGACGCUGAGGUGCGAAAGCGUGGGGAGC
rnacentral:rRNA from 1 species